AACAAUGCUCCUUCGUUAUUAAAGUCGAUUGAGGACUAUGAUCCUAUAUUUUUCGAAUUGUUCGUCGACCAAAAACAGUUAUGGAUCCUAAAAACAACUCUCAUUCGUUGUUAAAGUUGAUUGAGGAAUAUGAUCUUAUAUUUUUGGUGUUUAUUUUGGAUGGUCCGGAGUUUUUGGCUGCAACUAUGUUGGACAGAGAUAUGCUUGCUAUUGCUGUAAAUUGGUACCAUGUCGGUUGGUUUUGCUUGGUAAGAUUUGUGACGAUGCGUCGGACAAACAACAUUGGGAAAAUAUACAGCCUUGAGCCUUGAUGACCAAUGUAUAUCUCUAUUUGAGGAAUUCUCCAAAGAUCCAGAGCCGAUUGUUUCAUAGAGCUGUGAAGUUGCGUUAAACAUACUGGAUUUUGAAUGAUCCGACAAACCAUUCGAGGUACUUGGAAGAUUAAGUCUCUUAUCUGGGUGGUUGUUACAGGUUUAGGAUGUUAAAUGAUUUUGGAUGUACUCUGCGAUGUCGAUGAUGCAGAGAUGUUGGUGAAGCUCAGGUUAACAACUUCAUGUGUAUAUUUUAAUGAAUAAAGUUUUUGUUGUUUAUAUUUUC